rnacentral:lncRNA from 1 species
AAUGACCUUGCUUCACAAUUUUGCAGCACGGCAUGCUGCUCCCCAACAUUCAUCUGACUCGGAGGCAAGUCUGUUAACCAUGAUGUCAGCAGGAAUUAUUUUGACAGCUGCCAGAAGCAGUAGCAUAAGACUCAAAAGUUUUCAUUUUAGAAUGUGGUGUUCUAGAAUGUUGGUCUGAUGUAUACAUGCUAAUGGACAAUCAAAGACAGUAGCACAGUGUUCAAGAGAAGAACCCACAAGGAAAAGCGAUCACAUCAAUCAAUUAAACAAAACACCAGUUUUUUCAGGGAACGUUGGGAGACUCCUGAAGUUUUCUCUGUGUGUUACUUGGUGUCCGUGUCCCCAGCUCUGCAGUAAAAGUCUAAAGAAAAUGGAAUCCUUUUCUCUUUAAACUGUAAUGAGCAACAAUAGUCCAAGGACCAUACAGAAAGUGUCACACUCAGAUGAGCAGUACUGAGUGUAGAAUAAGAUCGCUAACUGGCCAUUGAUGACAUGUCCUGUUUCCUGGUAUCCAGGAGACUGAAAAUCACUUGGUUUUCUUUAUCUAGGCCACAG